rnacentral:lncRNA from 1 species
AGCGCACUGAGCGCGCCGGGCACCGACAGCCAAGGAGGCUCGGUCGCCAAGAUCUAAGACGCGGCAGUGCAGGUCCCAGUCCCUGUCCCUGUCGCAGGGGAGCCGCCCGAAUCCCUGGGAGACCAACCCCGAAAGUUAGCCAGGUUCCUCAGCAACCCGGCCACCCUCGCGCCCACCCCUCUUGUGUACGCACACGCAUCCACACCCCUUUCUGGGCUCCGUACUUGCCGUGGAAAUUCCUGGGGAGAACGAUCGCACUUUUCAGGACACCAAGACAAUUAAGAUCGUCAAAUUAAAAGGGGGCAGCCAUCAAAGGAAAUGAGACAGACUUGGAUGGACUGGUAUGGAAGGAGGUCAUGAUAGACUGUCAAUCGAGAAGACAUCUGCAACCACCGCUGGACUGUGUUCUUCCCUGAGAUCAGAACCCAGCCUCUUUAUGCUUCUAAGAUGGACUAGAUAUCUCUCCAGGAAUCCUCUAGCUCCUUGGCACCAGACUGGCACUGCUAAGGUUCCCAGCCAUGUGACUUGAACUGCUACCCAAGUCUCUAGCACUCCAGCUCUUCAAAGAUAGCUGUUGUUAGACGACUCGGGACCAUCUUGUGGAAGGUGGAAUAGCAAAUCCCCAUUUGCACAGUAUACUCAUCCUCUCCAUUCAGCUCCUCUAGAGAGUUCUCACUAAACAGGUCAUCUGUCACAACAUCUGUAUGUCUCAACAUCCUGCUCACUUCUCUUGGUACUCCAGGACUUUGUUUAUAGGCAUGAUCACUUUCAGAAAGCUAUCCUGCCCAGAAGCCCUUUCUUUCCAAGUCUACCAUCCUAGUAUACAGUGCAUGUAUCUACCUACCUACCAUGUGGUCUUGGACCUGUGAAUUAAACUGUGUAACUCCA